rnacentral:rRNA from 1 species
UACGAGUACCCCAAGCGUUAUCCGGAAUCAUUGGGCGUAAAGGGUGUGUAGGUGGUCUUGUUAGUCUUCUGUCAAAACUUCGGGCUCAACCCGAAACUUGCAGUGGAAACGGCGAGACUUGAGGAUGCGAGAGGUGAAUGGAACUCAUGGAGUAGGGGUGAAAUCCGUUGAUAUCAUGGGGAACACCAAAAGCGAAGGCAAUUCACUGGCGCAAUCCUGACACUGAGACACGAAAGCGUGGGUAGCGAACGGG